rnacentral:lncRNA from 1 species
CUUUUUCCUGCAUGUUUGAGGCAAAUGCCCCCAAACUCAAUCCCAGCCUUCACUAUAAGUUAUAUGGUUCCCCUACACUUCAUGACAACAUUUGUAGUACCUCCUGUUAUGCAUGUUAAACAAUAAGCCAGAUUUACUUAUUCUAAUUGCAGCAUUCUUAACCUUCAAACAAAUACAAAACACUUUGGUUCACUUUUAAUACAAAAACAUUUAUACAGAAUGCUUUUGAAGCAACAGAAAUUAAAUAUAUAAACAUUAUGAAAAUCUCUAAAUAAAAUCAAACAUAACAUAUUUCACAAUGAACAAUAACAAAAACUAAACAGAAUAAACAAAUGAAAAAUUAAUUACGUUAAAAGUAUCACACAUUUUUAAUCAGACCAAACUGUGAAAAAUAAUCACAAAAAAAACAAGAUCAUGUUCACAGAUGUAAAAUCUUUAUUGAUCUGAAAACUGAAAUAUAAUGUCUCUUUUUUCUACAAUUCACUUUUCAGUUUUUUUCCAUCCGUAUCCUUCUGAAGGAUGGUUUUCAUAAGUGGAGGUCAGGGGCAUUACUUAUGAUUUCUGGUUUGUAUGCAUGUUUAUUUGUUCUACUAUUUUUCCAUCUCUUGUAGUUCACUGUUAAGUUGUUGUAAAAUCAACAUGUAACUCACACAUAUUCAUUAUAAUGUAAAAAUUUAAAAUCAAAUGCUAAAUAAUGGUUCUGGUUCUGAUUUUCACAUUCACUAAAGAUAAAAAUAUAGUGUGAGCAGUGUUUAUCUAUCUUUUUAAUAUCAUCCGACUCUGAUUUUAAAUCUGCUUCCUCUUAAAAAACUAGCACAGAUCUGAUAAACUUGAAAAGCAAAAGUGUUGUUUUUUGACAAGUAACUGUUUUACUAUUCUAUUUAUAAACCAGGUGCUCCCCAGGGCCCAGCUUGAUACGACCUUAGAGGGUGAACCCUGAACGGUUGGGGCAAGUAUGGACACAACAUUCAAGAUUGAUACAGCUCUGAAUUUGGAUUGUGAUUAAAUAGUUGACACAGAAUAGGUUUCUGACACAGAAAUUGAAAAAAUUAAAUUGGACAUUUACCUAUUAUGGUCCAGUUUCCAAAUUCUAAAUACAUGGUUCGAUACAGCAUAUCAAAGAACCCCAAGAAUUCAAAUUUUAAUGAAAUUAAUAAAGUUCAAUUUUGGACCCUUUAGAAUUCAAUGUGGACCAAUUUGAUAAAGGGGUUCAUAAUCAAAAAUCUAAAUACAUGGUUAGAUUCAGCAUAUCAAGGAACCCCAAGAAUUGGACCCUUUGGAACCUAUGUAGACAGAUUUGAAAACGGGACAAAAACUUAAGAAUCUAAAUACACAAUUAGAUUCGGCAUAUCAAAGAACCCCAAUAAUUCAAUUUUUUAUGAAAUCAAACAAAAUUUAAUUUUGGACCCUUUUUUUUCCAACCUUCCUUUAGAGGGUUAUAAAACUUGUGUUAAACUUUUAUUGAUUCCAUAUUACUAAUACUUAAGUUAUUAUUCGGAAAUCAUCGAUCUUAGAACGACGCUGACGACGAAGUGAUACCAAUAUAUGACCCCAAAAAAAAAUAUUUUUUAAUUUUUGCGGUCGUAUAAAAAUUUAAUUCAGUCAUUGUUUCUGCUUCUUAAAUGUCAACAUAAACAAAACAUGGUAACAGCAGUACAAAAUAAAAGACUUUAAACAUUAAUUGUCAUCAUGAAAGUUAUAUAAUCUUAAUGAGUGAAUGAUAUUUUGUUGUUUGCCUUGGACAAAGUAUCGUUUUCCUGUAACACAUAUUAACAUAUCAUGGCCAGCAUGUUUUAGAUUGCAGAAAUAUGUGAUUCAAGUUCAGAUACAUCUAUCAUUGAUUAAAAUAACCAUGACACAUACAAUGUUUAUAUAUAUUCUAACAAUAAAAACACUCUGGCUUGGAAACAGUACAAGUUCAAAUACAUUGUGUGCAAAAAUAUGAAAAACUAAAGCAAAAAUUGAUAAACAGUUUAGCAAAUGUCAACUACCUGUUAAUAUAUAAUUAAUUAAAAUCAAAAUUCUGAAAAUAUGCACAUCAUAAAAAUAUAAUGUGGCCAUACAAUCUGAAGAAUCCAAAUAUUUUGGCCUGAACUGAAUAAAAGAGGAGUGAUUAAACAAUGAACAAAGAAUAACCCACUGUGCAGUACAAUAUAGAAAGGUUUAAGGUCAUUUUUUUAGAUUGCUGUCAUGAAAGUUGGUGAUUGAAACAUGUUUAUCCUUAAGAAAACAUGUCUUAACUUAGUCAGAUAAUAUAUAGAUCUAUCAAUAAUAAUACAUUUAUGAAAAGUUAUCACAUUACCAGGCAUGCUAGAAACUCCUUGACAAAACUAUAUAUCAUUUUGAUAUUCAUUGACUUUUCUACAUUGGAUUUUGUUUUUCCAAAAAACAAGUCAUUUUUAAAAUAUACAGGUUUUUAUUGUGUUCCAGUAAGAUCUACAUGUAGAUAUUUCUUCACUGCCAGCAACUCCUUUUUAUCUAUGUAACUCCAAAUCAAAUAAUGGAUAAUCUCUAAUAAAAUCACAGUGACAAGAAACUAUAUCAAUCAAAUUUAGAUGAUAAUGAGUUUACUUUACCAUUUUAAAACUUUGCAGAAAAGGUUUUCAUCAAUUCAGAUUUAAAACUUUUAAUUCAAUGGUGCAGUAAGAAUUUUAAACAAGUCCAAACUUUCCUUUUAUCUAUUAAAUUCUUCACCUUUAGAUGUUGACAUUUUUUACUUUUUUCUAAUGAAAAUACAUGCUGAAUACAUGCACAACGUUCCAGUGACGGAUCCAGGGGAAGGGUUCUGGGGGUUGGAACCCCCUUUUUUUGGACGAUCAAUGCAUUUGAAUGGGGACAUAUAGUUGGAACCCCCUUUAUCCAGGGUUGGGAACACCCCCCCCCCCUUUCAAAAUGGCUGCAUUCUCCACUACAGUCAAAUUAAAGUUGCAUGAAUACAUUUUCCAAUGACUUGAAUCUUUGACUCGCAAGCCAAUACAAUAUCAGGGUAUGUUUUUUUAGCUCAACAGAAUUGAACCAAAGAGACUGCUAAUGAAAAAAAAAUUUUAAUUUUUGAAACAAAAUGAUAUUUUCCUUUUCUGUCUAAAUGUGUGUACUGUGCAGUAACAUCUCCCAUAAAGAGUUAACUGAGAGUUUCAUUCAAGGGAUAUAUUUGUAUAGCUUACCUUUAUUGCAUAUUCUAACAUUAUUUAUAUUUUAGAUAAUUGGAAGAACACUUCAAUUUGAGUCAAAAAUUGUAAGGAGUCCUUUGAUUGCUUACAAGCGACAUUUGUAGGUCUUUCAAGCUGAUAUUCUAAGUUAAGGGGAAAUUAUAUAAAAAGUAAGUUGAUUUUAAACUGGCACCACUUUUAUCCUUCCAAUGUUUUUAAAGAUAUAUUCCAUAUAUUAGACAAUAACUUGCACUUUUUUUGUAGGUUUUUGCAGAAAUAAAAAAAUACAUAACCACUAAACAUGUUACGAAAAACAAAUAACAAUAUAAUAUA